rnacentral:rRNA from 1 species
CGUAGGUGCGAGCGUUGUCCGGAUUUAUUGGGCGGUAAAAGGGACGUCGUAGGUGGUUGAUCGCGUCGGAAGUGUAAAUCUUGGGGCUUAACCCUGAGCGUGCUUUCGAUAACGGUUGGACUUGAGGAAGGUAGGGGAGAAUGGAAGUUCCUGGUGGAGCGGUGGAAUGCGCAAGAUAUCAGGAGGAACACCAGUGGCGAAGGCGGUUCUCUGGGCCUUUCCUGACGGCUGAGGAGCGAAAAGCGUGGGGAGCGAAACAGGCUU